AACGAACGCUGGCGGCGCGUCUUAAGCAUGCAAGUCGAACGGCAAGAGAGAAGCUUGCUUCUCUCCUAGAGUGGCGGACUGGUGAGGAACACGUGGGUAAUCUACCCUUAAGAUGGGGAUAGCUGCUAGAAAUAGCAGGUAAUACCGAAUACACUCAAAGUUUCACAAGAGGUUUUGAGGAGAGGAAGCUACGGCUUCGCUUGAGGAUGAGCUUGCGUCCCAUUAGCUAGUUGGUGAGGUAACGGCCCACCAAGGCGACGAUGGGUAUCCGGCCUGAGAGGGUGAACGGACACAUUGGGACUGAGAUACGGCCCAAACUCCUACGGGAGGCAGCAGCUAAGAAUAUUCCGCAAUGGACGGAAGUCUGACGGAGCGACGCCGCGUGGAUGAAGAAGGCUGAAAAGUUGUAAAAUCCUUUUGUUGAUGAAGAAUAAGGGUGAGAGGGAAUGCUCAUCUGAUGACGGUAAUCGGCGAAUA
rnacentral:rRNA from 1 species